AAUAGCUAGUCCAAUAAAAGACUACUAAUUUCGACUUAGUCAAUCGUGAUUAAACCUCACGGCUAUUAA
rnacentral:tRNA from 1 species